UGUGAUGAUGAAGUCAUGCUGCUCCGACAUCACCACCGACAGCAGAGCCAGCUGUGCGCUACAAACACAGUACAGAGUAUAAGGAUAUCCGACUGAUGGGCGUGUACUAAACCCACGUUUUUAACCUUGUCUGGCAGUCAAGAAGACGUCAAUGUUGGAUUUACAGCACAGCAAGACUCACUGUGUUCUCACUACGUGACACACAAAUUAAGAGUUUGUAUUAACCUGUAUUACUGCUGGUCCUCAGAAGCCAGAAAAAGUUCUCAAAAAGCUCCAGGCUGUUUUAACCGUCAGCACAUAUUUUACCUCAAGGUUGUCCAUAUCUCACAGACCUGCUCUUCACUAAGUGUAACUUCAGCUGCACCUACACCUUCAGAAAAAAGUAAUAGAAGCAAGUAAAGAAACCAGCAGGAAGCAAGAGGGAAUGCACACUCAUCCAUCGCCUACUGCUUUAUCCUCCGUAAGAGGACCGCGGGGAGCUGGAG